UGAGGAAUAUUGAGCAAUGGGCGCAAGCCUGACUCAGCAACGCCGCGUGGAUGACGAAGGCCUUCGGGUUGUAAAAUCCUUUUCUGGGGGAAGAUAAUGACGGUACCCCAGGAAUAAGUUCCGGCUAACUACGUGCCAGCAGCCGCGGUAAAACGUAGGGGACGAGCGUUAUCCGGAUUUACUGGGCGUAAAGCGCAUGUAGGUGGCGCGGAAAGUUGGACGUGAAAGCUCCUGGCUUAACUGGGAGAGGUCGUACAAAACUACCGUGCUUGAGGUUGGAAGAGGAGAGCGGAAUUCCCGGUGUAGUGGUGGAAUGCGUAGAUAUCGGGAGGAACACCAGUGGCGAAAGCGGCUCUCUGGUUCAAUACUGACACUGAGAUGCGAAAGCGUGGGGAGCGAA
rnacentral:rRNA from 1 species